AAAGCAUGAUGAGUACAUUUCCUUAGCAUCUCCUUAUAUCUCUCCCAUGCCUCACAAAGUUAUUCUCCCUCUUUUUGAGUGAACGUGUGAAUGUCAUUCCUCAACCU